AAUGGGCGCAAGCCUGAUCCAGCAAUGCCGCGUGGGUGAAGAAGGCCUGCGGGUUGUAAAGCCCUUUUGGUGGGGAGGAAAGGUCUUGUGCUAAGAGCACGAGAUUGUGACGUUACCCACCGAAGAAGCACCGGCCAACUCCGUGCCAGCAGCCGCGGUAAUACGGAGGGUGCGAGCGUUAAUCGGAAUUACUGGGCGUAAAGGGCGCGUAGGUGGUGCGUUGAGUCAGCUGUGAAAGCCCUGGGCUUAACCUGGGAAUGGCAGUUGAAACUGGCGUGCUGGAGUGCGACAGAGGACGGCGGAAUUCCCGGUGUAGCGGUGAAAUGCGUAGAGAUCGGGAAGAACACCGAUGGCGAAGGCAGCCGUCUGGGUUGACACUGACGCUGAGGCGCGAAGGCGUGGGGAGCAAA
rnacentral:rRNA from 1 species